CGGAUCUUCCGGAAUUGGAAUUGUAAGUCCAUAAUAUAAAAUGUUAACCGUCACUUAGUUUUGGAAAUUGACAGAGAUCCGACCGUUGGAUGGUAAUGAAAUUUUAGGAUGUUGUCCUAGAGGUAUAAUGUGGACCUCUGGAAGUUAUGGAUUUAAAAUCUGAGUGGCAGAUCUUCCGGAUCGAACUACGUAGUGACGUAUUUUAUAUAAGUUAAAUAUUCUAUCGAUAUGAAUUCUGAGGUUGGAUUUGAUUACUAUUUUAGGCGGCGAUCGUCGUGACGCCUUGAUGUGUGGUGCUAGGGAGUUGUUGGAUGAACUCCAGGUGAGUGGGCAGUUUUGUUUUCCGUAUAUAUAUAUAUACUUAACGUUUUCCCAUAAAUUGAAAAUGCAUGAAAUUAUGUUUAAAAUGAAAUGCAUAUGAGUUAUGUGGAAAAAACGGGAAGUGAAAUACCAUGCAUAGAAUUGAUAUGAAAAGUAUAUAGAAAAUGUGAGUUGAAAUGCCAUGCAUGAAUUAAUAUAUGAUGCAUAUGUAUGAAUUGGUGCGGUGGACGCACAGGUAAGAAUUGAUUUAUGAUGCAUAUGUAUGAAAUGGUGCGGUGGACGCACAGAUGAGUAUUUAAUUACUGUUAUGAUGAUGAUGAUAUAUAUUGAGCUCAAAUCCUGCACCAUGGUUUAGUGCUUAUAGUAUUCACCGCAUCGCACGCUCGCCUUGGAUCCAAGUAGAUGCUAGUCGUACAGUCCACGCGGAGUGGGUACGACAGACCAGUCGCGAGAGUGUUAGUGAGAUUCCGACUGGUGGGUGACCUUAGAUUAUGUGCACAGAUGAUUUAUGAGAAGCACUAGAGCGUAACUUGUGUGCAGAAGGCCGGACGGGUCACAGAGGUGACUCCGGUAGAGUGAUAAUGAUAGAUUUUGAGCUCUAGGUUCAACCGUAUAGGGCUAUUAGAGGGCCUACGGUUGAUUACUUUCUUGCACCUGAUAUGAUUAUGUUGAUGCAUUCAUACCUUAUUACUGUUGAGAUGAUGUGGCAUGGCAUAAUUAAUAUGAAAAAUGUUGAGAUGACAUGGCAUGGCAUGAUUGAUAAAGAGAUAAUGUUGAGAUAGUAAAAAUGAAGUUUUGAGAAUAUAUAUGUAUAUUUAUAUUUUUUUACAUUUCUGGGAAAGUAUACAGGUUUUACGGAGAGGGUUACAACGUUUUGAGAAAUGUUUGGAUUUGGAAAAGAAUUGUUUACUGACCCACUCAAUUUUGGUUUUGCGCCCCUCCAGGUUCAGGAAUCACAAAGGUGUGGUGACUACGAGGAAUACAGCGGGGUUCUGACAGAUUGGACAAAAUUAGGACUCACCUUCGGGUGUAUCAACUUAUAAAUUGUAUAAUUAAAGCUUCCGUACUGUGCAAAUGGUUACGUCACUCUCACGUGACGGCCAGCAUGCCCUCCUUCGGGACAGGGUGUGUCAGUUGGUAUCAGAGCAUGGUUGCAAUCUUGGACAUCUUGAGAAGUUUAUAGUGAAUUCUGUCAGAACUACACCGCCUCGUAGCAAACCACGUAGUUAGAGGAAUUCCCUAGAUUUAGCGGUUUGGGGGAAACUAUUAUUAUGGUGAUUCAGUAUAUUAUCAAAAUGGACAUUUUAAGACGGGUUAUGAGUUGAAUUUGAAUCACCUUAUGGAAUGAUCAACCUGAGGGAGCGGAGUGACGGUUUAACCAAUUGGAAAAGAUGUUUCAGAUUAUGCAAGUCAAAGGAAAUUUCCUUCUGACAGGUGGGUCGAGACGACUACCUGGUUUUGGGUAUGAAUUUGCAUCCUGGUGGAAACAGGAAUGUUAAUUGUUGUCACCAGAGGAAUCAGCCGAUUUAAAAUUUUUUAAGGAAAAGUUUAUCCCUCCGGCAUUUAUUGAUGGUAGUAAACAAGAGUUUACAAAUAUGAGACAAGGAAGGUGAUGAUCGAGGGAUAUUAUAGAAAGUUUUCAGACUUGCCUCGUUCCAUCCAGAUAUUGUUGUUAAUUUGGUGGAGGUGUUAUGUUGUUUUAAGCUGGGUGACAAAAGGGAAGUGGUAUUUUGGGUGACCACUAUCCAUUGUAGUUCUUAUCAGGAGUAUGCUAGAUGUUGUUGAAUCUUGAGGACUCUGAGAACAUGAGCAACGAGAAUAAAGAAGAAUAAGAAAUGAAUGGGAAUUAAAAGAAGACGAUAAAGUUAAUGAUUCGUCAUAUCAAGGAUAUAGAAAGAUUUAGAGCUUCGAAAGAAGUGAAGCUAGAGUUAAUUCUUCUAGCUGAGGUUUUAAUGUCGCUGGUCAGAGUAAAAGUGAUGGAUAUACUGGUAAUCCCAGAUAUUUGAGACAAGGUGUCUCGAGUAAAGGAAAUGUACUUUGUGCAGCAGGUACAAAAUUAACACUUUGGGAAAUGUGAAAUUAAUGAAUGUGUUUAUGUGAACAGAAGGGACACAGAGUUGUGAAUCGUCCCUAGAAUCAGUUGUACUCAACAAUUUUCCAUGAAAUCAUAGUGUCGAUUCAGCAGAGUUAUGGAUUUAGUAGUUUGGUCGGAUUGACCGUGAGUACAGAGAUAUUUGAUGAGUUAUAUGUUCAGCUGUACGGACCAUGAGAAAUGGAUUUGACUGACACAUGAGAAAUUGGUGAGUUAUAGGCUCGGCCGUGCCGACCACGCGGAGUGGAUCCGGCCGACGUAUUAUUGAGAUAAGAGUUGAAUCAACCGUAUUGGUCAUUCUAGUUGACUUCGGCUGAUAUAUUUCUUAUUAUGUAUGAUAUUACCUAGAGAGUGGUAAAUAAAUGUAGUUGAGACGAGUGUAUGUAUUUUGCAUUGAGUGACAAAAUAGUAAUGUUAUAUCUUUGUGAGUGGUUGCCUACUUAUCGAGACAACGAUGAUUUAUCAGUAUUGCGGGCUGCAGACCGUAAUAUUAAUAACUCAUUCGUGGAUUCGUUAAGUAAGUAAACCGGUAGAUUAUUUUAUGUUAGUAUUGUACUUAUUCAGAAUGCUUAGUAGUAAUAGAGUAUGUAUUGUGUCGGUUAAUUAUUAUUCCAUUAGAUUGGUUGGUUAUAAUUGUGACAAGACGGAAUGUUAAGGGAAACCAGUACUUUCCAUCGAUCUGGAUGACCAGAGAUUACUUUUGUAAGUAUGCAAAGUGAAGUGAGUUCAGCCAUUAUUUAUGCUGUGAAAGCAAAUAGAUUGUUUUGAAAGGCUGUCAAAAAUACUUAGCUCAUGUGGUGCUAAAUGAUGUUGUUUGGAGUAGUGUGAAUAAUGUCGAAAGGGUUAGACUUUUCUUGAUGUCUUCUCUGAAAGUAUACCUGGAUUGUCUUCAGGCAGAGAUAUGAGGUUCAUUAUUGAUUUGUUUGCCAGGUAUAAAUUUAUGUUAAAGAUUGGUUCAUGAUGAGUUAAGGGAAUUGGAAAUUCAGUUGAGAGAAUUGGUUGAUAAAAGUUUUAUUCAACCUAGUACAACACUGUUGAGGAGCACCAGUUUGUUGGUGAGAAAGAAAAUGGACUUUAAAGACUAUUCCUUGAUUAUAGAUAAUGGAGUCGGGUAACGAUUGAGAACCGUUAUCCAUGGUGAUGUACUGAUGUUUAUUUAACCAGCUCAAAAGUAAUUGCGAAGAUUCAAAGAUUGAAUUGAGAUCUGGUUACUACCAAUUGAAUAUUAUAAGUGACGUUGAUCAUAAGAUGGUUUUCUGGAUUUGUUAUAGUUUUUAUGAAGUUUGGUGAUGCUAUAUGGAUACUCAUGCUGUUUUAUGAGUUAUUGGAUGAAGUAUUCCAAUAAUGCCUUGAUAAAUUGAUAUCAUUUCCAUUGAAGAUAUUCUGGCAUAUUCUGAGCCAGAGCAGAGUAUGUAAACGUAUUAAGUCAAUGAAGCAAAGAUUGAGAGAACGUUAGUUGUAUGCUAAGUUUAGCAAAAGCUAAAGUUAAAUGGAUCAAGUGGCAUUCUAAAAUUUGUUAUGUCUGCUUAAGGUAUUCAAGUGAAUCCUUAAAGGAUAGCAGAAAUUGAGAAUUUGGAACAACCACGAGUCGUAAUUGAGAUUUGGAAUUUCUUAGCUUACCAGGCUAUUUUGGAUGGUUGUGAAAGAAUUUUAGUCAUUACUUUGUCAUUAACGAGACUGAUGAGAAAAGAGGUUAGGUAUGAGUGGGAAGGAAUUGUAAGCAAAGGAUUCAACAACUGAAGUAUUUCCUCACUCAUGCACGUAUUUUGGUAUUCCCAGAGAAUAGUGGUAAUCAUAAAUUUUUAGUGAUGUUUCUUGAAUGGUAUUGGAGGCAUGUUGAUGCAAAUGUUAGGGUGAUUGCAUACGUUUCACGAUAAAUGGAAUCUCAUAAGAUGAAUUACCCUACUGGUGAUUUGGAAGUCACGAUUACCAUUCUUGCUGUGAAGUUAUGGAGACAUUAUAUUUUAGUAGGAAUGCAAGAUUUUUUUUUACGAAUCCAAAAAGUCUUCAAUAUCCAUUACUUGGAAGGAAUUUGAUAUGAGGCAGCGAAAGUGAAUUGUAUUGCUUAAUGAACAUGAUUGUACGAUCAGGGUGAUCGUAAAGUUUGUUCUAGCUGAAGCACUUGGUGAGAAGACUACAGUAAGAUUAAUAUCUGGCACGUUUGCCAAGAGUAUCAUUUUGUGGAUUGAAAACCAACGGAAGAAAAAUUAAGAAUGGAAGAUCGAGAAGAAGUAUACUUGUUAAGUAACAAGUUAGUACAUUUACCCCAGUGUUGAGUAACAACCUUUCCCAGACAGUGCAACACUACUUAUUUGUUUUAUGGAAAAGAGAAUUGGAUUACGGAACUGCUAAGUUUCUUAAGUAUGUUGGUUGUGCAGUUUCCGAAGUAACGCCAUAAGGACCAUGAAAUGUGUCACGUGAGUCGGUUUUUGAUGACUUGUGAAUGGAAUGUUUCUGGGUAAAGAAAGAUUCGAUCGAGAAAGAGUUUUAGUAGACCCUGAGACUAUGGAUGAGUCUCCUCAAAGUAUUCAGGUGAUUAAGUUAACCUAAAAGUAACCAGGAAUGACAAAAGACAUCAACAGAUGGAUAUGCCACUAAUCGAGUAUAUAAGGUAAAUGGUUUUAUAUUUUAGAAGUGUUCACCUUAGAAAAGUAGAAUUUGGAUUGGAAAAAGAAGGUCCUGAGAGUUAAGAUAGAGUAAAUGGUAAAAGUUUUGUGAAUGAAUCAUUCAGUGGAAGAAAAUUACGUGGGAGAAAAAGAAUCGGAUGAAAAAAAAAAACUUACCGAGGUUGGUAUAAGUGUUGAUGAAUUGGUUGGUUGCUGGAAUUUCGGGGACGAAAUUCUAUAAGGAGGGAAGAUUGUCACAGCCCGUUCCAAAUUAUUAUAUUCGUGGCUGUGAAUGGACAAAAUUGCCCUUAAGAAAUACUAAAUUUGUGAAGCUCAGGUUGCUAAUUAUCUAGGUUCCUAAGUUUGAAAAUAAAAUGGAAUUUAAUAAGGAUGGAACUUAGAUUUUUAGGUUAAAAUGUUAAAGUUUGGUGUUUGGAGAUUGGAAUAAGGACCACGUGGGAUCCCCACAUCCCUCAAAACCCUCCUCAUUUCCCGUUCACUGUCUUUCUCUCUCCUCCUUCACGAUUUCUCACUCUCUCUGUCUCUCUCCUUCGAACUCACACGGACCACCACCAAAACCACCCUAAAUCUAUACCAACGUCAAGUUUGAGACCACCAUUGGAAUCCUGAGGACUUCACGAUCACGUUGGUAUCCAUUUCAGGUAAGUUUUACUUCGGAAAACCUAGAUUCUAAACUCCCAUGAAAGUGUACUGUUCAUGAGCUUUUGAAUUGGUUGAUUUUUAGGACAAUCCAAGCUCAUAGUGAGCUUAGUGAGGUCCCAAGGAAGCUCGGAGUGCUUCGUUGGAAGUUUUUGGACGUAAGAACACGGAGAUCGACAAGUUCAAAGUUUGGCCGGAGCUUUCGAGGCGUUUUCCGGCGAAUCCCCGGCGAGUUAGGAGUCGAGGUAGGUAUCAAUCUCUUCGUCUCGUCAAGUACUACAACUUUCCUUUUUGUUUCACUCAAUUUCGUUGAGUAUUGAAGAAGUUAUACUCAUUUGAAAAAUACCCAGUUUCCGGCGACCUCCGAGGCUUUCGAGGCAGUUUCCGGCCAAACCACGGCGAACUAGGUGUUGUGCAAGGUACCAUUCUCUUUGUCUCUUCAAGGGCUACAACUUUCGUUUUUGAAUCACUUGAUUUCGUUGAGAAAUGACAAAGUUAUGGCAAUUUGAAAAACUGUUCAGAAAACGGCCGCCGGAAAAACCAGUCCGGCGACCCAAGGAAGAAGAAGGUGCUACAGUAAAAAAAAAAUAAAAAUAAAAAAUAAAAUUAUUUUAAAAAUAUGUCGACGUCCGUGACGUCGAGUAGAUCACUGUGGUAUAUUCAUAUACCUAAAUUGAACACCAUAUGAGAAAGUUAUUGAAGAUUGUUGGUUAGGUGUUCAAAUAACGUUUUAUAGUUUUCACAUUUAGGUGAAAAUGUGAAUUGAUGAUUCGACCGUUGGAUCAUCACCAAACUUUGAUACGUUAUAAUACGUAAUAUUUGAGGAUUAUUGGAACUUACAGAUUGGGAAUCCGAUUUGCGGAUCUUCCGGAAUUGGAAUUGUAAGUCCAUAAUAUAAAAUGUUAACCGUCACUUAGUUUUGGAAAUUGACAGAGAUCCGACCGUUGGAUGGUAAUGAAAUUUUAGGAUGUUGUCCUAGAGGUAUAAUGUGGACCUCUGGAAGUUAUGGAUUUAAAAUCUGAGUGGCAGAUCUUCCGGAUCGAACUACGUAGUGACGUAUUUUAUAUAAGUUAAAUAUUCUAUCGAUAUGAAUUCUGAGGUUGGAUUUGAUUACUAUUCUAGGCGGCGAUCGUCGUGACGCCUUGAUGUGUGGUGCUAGGGAGUUGUUGGAUGAACUCCAGGUGAGUGGGCAGUUUUGUUUUCCGUAUAUAUAUAUAUACUUAACGUUUUCCCAUAAAUUGAAAAUGCAUGAAAUUAUGUUUAAAAUGAAAUGCAUAUGAGUUAUGUGGAAAAACGGGAAGUGAAAUACCAUGCAUAGAAUUGAUAUGAAAAGUAUAUAGAAAUGUGAGUUGAAAUGCCAUGCAUGAAUUAAUAUAUGAUGCAUAUGUAUGAAUUGGUGCGGUGGACGCACAGGUAAGAAUUGAUAUAUGAUGCAUAUGUAUGAAUUGGUGCGGUGGACGCACAGGUAAGAAUUGAUUUAUGAUGCAUAUGUAUGAAAUGGUGCGGUGGAC
rnacentral:lncRNA from 1 species